rnacentral:rRNA from 1 species
UAACACAUUAAGUACUCCGCCUGAGUAGUACGUACGCAAGUAUGAAACUUAAAGGAAUUGACGGGACUCCGCACAAGCGGUGGAUCAUGUUGUUUAAUUCGAAGAUACCCGAAAAACCUUACCAGGUCUUGACAUGUUUUUGCAAAAUGAUAGUAAUAUCGUGGAGGUUACCAGAAACACAGGUGGUGCAUGGUUGUNGUCAGCUCGUGUCGUGAGAUGUUAGGUUAAGUCCUAAAACGAGCGAAACCCUUAUCGUUAGUUGCCAGCACGUUAUGGUGGGGACUUUAACGAGACUGCCAAUGAUAAAUUGGAGGAAGGUGAGGAUCACGUCAAAUCAGCAUGCCCCUUAUGACCUGGGNUACAAACGUGAUACAAUGGCUGUUACAAAGGGUAGCUGAAACGCAAGUUCUUGGCCAAUCCCCAAAAACAGUCCCAGUCCGGAUUGAAGUCUGCAACUCGACUUCAUGAAGUUGGAAUCGCUAGUAAUCGCGAAUC